AUCGUUGUCGUGUAAACGUACACUUAGUCUAUCCACCUUAUUUUUCAACGUGUUUUCUGUGAAUGUGCGAGACUUCAGAUUUAUUAUCCGCUAUACGGAAAUAACGAGAAGAAUAUCAAAGUGCAGUAAACUAUAAAAACAGUGGCUUGUGCGUUGUAAAAGAAUGCUUAUGCGCAGGCGCGUAGUCUUUCUUUACAAAGUGACAUCGCCAACUACUUGUCUGGCAUGUGUAAUACAGCGUUUUCGUGGAUUCGUGUGAACGGGGAUCGUUUUAAUAACGUUGUCAUCUGUACAAAGAAAGCAUUUUUCCGUUUUUAGUACGUCUUUGUCGUGUAAACAUACCCUAAAUCUAAACUUGAAUAAAGUAAAUUAGGUAGUUAGGUAACUAACACCAACAAAAGAGUCAGACAAGGUAGCUCCUCUUCACACGUUUUCUCUUGCACGUGAUCUUUGCGAUACACUAAACUUACGCUGAACUUCAUCCACAUGGAAACGCAUCCACUUCACCCAAUGUAAGCAAAGUAUUAAGAUCAUUUGCAUUGACAGAACUAGUCUCAGUGCUUUACUUGUCUUUAUAACCUUGUCAGUUUAGUGUUUGAUGUACUCUUAAUGACAGUACAGCAGACAACAACUAUGUUUGUCAUCAUUUCCAUCUGCAUAUCGAUCAUUGGUGUUCAAGGCUCAAAUGGACAAGUGACAGUUACUCAAACUCCUCAAGUCCAAACCUCUCAACUUGAUGAAACGGUCAAAAUAAACUGCAAAACCAACUCACCUGUUGCUGACUGUAGUCUCUGGAGGAACUGUGUGUCCUGGUACCAGCACAAACCUGGACAUGCUCCCAAACUCCUCAUUUAUUACAUACGCGAACGUCACACAAACGUCCCAUCUAGAUUCAGCGGCAAUGGCGCUCACACUGACUUCAAU